rnacentral:rRNA from 1 species
UACAGAGGGGGCUAGCGUUGUUCGGAAUUACUGGGCGUAAAGGGCGCGUAGGUGGCCCGUUAAGUCGAACGUGAAAUCCCCGGGCUCAACCCGGGAACUGCGUCCGAGACUGGCAGGCUCGAAUCCGGGAGAGGGAUGUGGAAUUCCAGGUGUAGCGGUGAAAUGCGUAGAUAUCUGGAGGAACACCGGUGGCGAAGGCGGCAUCCUGGACCGGUAUUGACGCUGAGGCGCGAAAGCCAGGGGAGCAAACGGG